rnacentral:rRNA from 1 species
AUACGGAGGAUGCAAGCGUUAUCCGGAUUUAUUGGGUUUAAAGGGUGCGUAGGCGGUUUGCUAAGCGGGAGGUGAAAUGCCGGCGCUCAACGUCGGAAGUGCCUCCCGAACUGGUGGGCUGGAAUGACUCUGCCGUGGGAGGAAUGUGUAGUGUAGCGGUGAAAUGCUUAGAGAUUACACAGAACACCGAUUGCGAAGGCAUCUCACGAAGGGUUGAUUGACGCUGAGGCACGAAAGCGUGGGGAUCAAACAGGAUUAGAUACCCUGGUAGUCCACGCAGUAAACGAUGAUGGCUAACCGCUGGGCUUAUCAGUUCAGUGGCCAAGCGAAAGCGAUAAGCCAUCCACCUGGGGAGUACGACCGCAAGGUUGAAACUCAAAGGAAUUGACGGGG